CAAAUUUUAAAAUUUUUCAUUAAUAUGUGUUUUUGGAGUUAGUUUUGAGUUUGUGUGGGGUUUGGUGUUGAGUAAAGGGGAGAGAUUGGAGUUUGGGUUGGAUUUGUGGUAUAACAAUUUUAGGGGAGAUUAUGCCUUUUUUUUUUUUUUUGGUUGUUAUUUGACCAUAUUUAUUUUUUUGUAGGUAAUCAUCGAGACUUUGAUGGCUAAAGUUGAGGAUUAGGAAGCUAUCAAAACAUAUCAUCCGCCACUACCACCACAAUACGCUUGUAUUAGGAUUUUAUUAUUAUACUUUGUUAAUUUAUGUGUACAUUUUGAAUAUUAUAUACAUAUUUAUUGGAUAAUUUGAUCACUAUUUUU
rnacentral:lncRNA from 1 species